UAUGUUGUAGCUCAGUGGUAGAGCAUUCGCCUAGCACCAUAAGGCCCUGGGUUCAAUCCUCAGCAUCACAU
rfam:Ictidomys tridecemlineatus contig013837, whole genome shotgun sequence.